rnacentral:lncRNA from 1 species
GGUAUAUACACUGUUUUUUAGACAUAAAUCAUAUCAAUAAUCUCAGUAACCUUUCUGAAAAUAUUCAAGGCACCACCCUCAUCAAAUAUUGCCCGAAGUCUGCUUAUUGAACGGCUUCUAAGAAACUGUACCAUCACUUGAAAGCAGGCCAGGCACGGUGGCUCACACCUGUAAUCCCAGCACUUUGGGAGGAUUACAGGCAUGAGCCACCGUGCCCGGCCUGUAACUACUUAAGAUUAGUCAUAUAGUAUGCGAAAAACUACGCUUACUGAAGUAUGAUGGAGAAAGGUCUAGCUGAAUUUUCACUAACUGAGGUUCUUAAUAUGGGGGGUCCAUAGAGAAUUCAGGGAUCUGUGAAUAUGGAUGGGAACCUUUUCACUAACCUCUAUACAAAAAUUAAUUCCUUCAAUCAAGAAUAUAAGUAAUAAACUAUAGUAGUAUUAGAAAACCUAUGAAUUUGUCAU